UACGGGGGGGGGCAAGCGUUUGUUCGGAAUUACUGGGCGUAAAGGGCUUGUAGGUGGCCAACUAAGUCAGACGUGAAAUCCCUCGGCUUAACCGGGGAACUGCGUCUGAUACUGGAUGGCUUGAGUGUGGGAGAGGGAUGCGGAAUUCCAGGUGUAGCGGUGAAAUGCGUAGAUAUCUGGAGGAACACCGGUGGCGAAGGCGGCAUCCUGGACCAUUACUGACACUGAAAAGCGAAAGCCAGGGGAGCAAACGGG
rnacentral:rRNA from 1 species